AGAGUUUGCUUCUGGCUCAGAACGAACGCUGGCGGCGUGGAUAAGACAUGCAAGUCGAACGAGAGAAUUGCUAGCUUGCUAAUAAUUCUCUAGUGGCGCACGGGUGAGUAACACGUGAGUAACCUGCCCCCGAGAGCGGGAUAGCCCUGGGAAACUGGGAUUAAUACCGCAUAGUAUCGAAAGAUUAAAGCAGCAAUGCGCUUGGGGAUGGGCUCGCGGCCUAUUAGUUAGUUGGUGAGGUAACGGCUCACCAAGGCGAUGACGGGUAGCCGGUCUGAGAGGAUGUCCGGCCACACUGGAACUGAGACACGGUCCAGACACCUACGGGUGGCAGCAGUCGAGAAUCAUUCACAAUGGGGGAAACCCUGAUGGUGCGACGCCGCGUGGGGGAAUGAAGGUCUUCGGAUUGUAAACCCCUGUCAUGUGGGAGCAAAUUAAAAAGAUAGUACCACAAGAGGAAGAGACGGCUAACUCUGUGCCAGCAGCCGCGGUAAUACAGAGGUCUCAAGCGUUGUUCGGAAUCACUGGGCGUAAAGCGUGCGUAGGCUGUUUCGUAAGUCGUGUGUGAAAGGCGCGGGCUCAACCCGCGGACGGCACAUGAUACUGCGAGACUAGAGUAAUGGAGGGGGAACCGGAAUUCUCGGUGUAGCAGUGAAAUGCGUAGAUAUCGAGAGGAACACUCGUGGCGAAGGCGGGUUCCUGGACAUUAACUGACGCUGAGGCACGAAGGCCAGGGGAGCGAAA
rnacentral:rRNA from 1 species